UACAGAGGGGGCAAGCGUUGUUCGGAAUUACUGGGCGUAAAGGGCGCGUAGGCGGCCUGUUAAGUCGAACGUGAAAUCCCCGGGCUCAACCCGGGAACUGCGUCCGAUACUGGCAGGCUUGAAUCCGGGAGAGGUGAGUGGAAUUCCCAGUGUAGCGGUGAAAUGCGUAGAUAUUGGGAGGAACACCAGUGGCGAAGGCGGCUCACUGGACCGGUACGUGACGCUGAUGCGCGAAGCG
rnacentral:rRNA from 1 species